UACCGAGUGGCGGACGGGUGAGUAACGCGUGAGCAACCUGCCCUGCAACGGGGGACAACAGUUGGAAACGACUGCUAAUACCGCAUGGGACCACGAAACCGCAUGGUUUUGAGGUAAAAGGAUUUAUUCGAUGCAGGAUGGGCUCGCGUCCCAUUAGAUAGUAGGCGGGGUAACGGCCCACCUAGUCUUCGAUGGAUAGGGGUUCUGAGAGGAAGGUCCCCCACAUUGGAACUGAGACACGGUCCAA
rnacentral:rRNA from 1 species